rnacentral:rRNA from 1 species
AUUGAACGCUGGCGGCAUGCUUUACACAUGCAAGUCGAACGGCAGCGCGAGCUUCGGCCUGGCGGCGAGUGGCGAACGGGUGAGUAAUGCAUCGGAACGUGCCCAGUAGUGGGGGAUAGCCCGGCGAAAGCCGGAUUAAUACCGCAUACGACCUGAGGGUGAAAGCGGGGGACCGAAAGGCCUCGCGCUAUUUGAGCGGCCGAUGUCGGAUUAGCUAGUUGGUGGGGUAAAGGCUUACCAAGGCGACGAUCCGUAGCUGGUCUGAGAGGACGACCAGCCACACUGGGACUGAGACACGGCCCAGACUCCUACGGGAGGCAGCAGUGGGGAAUUUUGGACAAUGGGGGCAACCCUGAUCCAGCCAUGCCGCGUGCGGGAAGAAGGCCUUCGGGUUGUAAACCGCUUUUGUUCGGGAAGAAAUCCUCUGGGCUAAUACCCCGGGGGGAUGACGGUACCGGAAGAAUAAGCACCGGCUAACUACGUG